AUUAAACGCUGGCGGCAUGCCUUACACAUGCAAGUCGAACGGCAGCACGGGGCAACCCUGGUGGCGAGUGGCGAACGGGUGAGUAAAGCAUCGGAACGUGCCCUGGAGUGGGGAGUAACGUAGCGAAAGUUACGCUAAUACCGCAUAUUCUGUGAGCAGGAAAGCAGGGAUCGCAAGACCUUGCGCUCUGGGAGCGGCCGAUGUCGGAUUAGCUAGUUGGUGGGGUAAAGGCCUACCAAGGCGACGAUCCGUAGCGGGUCUGAGAGGAUGAUCCGCCACACUGGGACUGAGACACGGCCCAGACUCCUACGGGAGGCAGCAGUGGGGAAUUUUGGACAAUGGGCGAAAGCCUGAUCCAGCCAUGCCGCGUGAGUGAAGAAGGCCUUCGG
rnacentral:rRNA from 1 species